rnacentral:rRNA from 1 species
CUACGGGGGGCAGCAGUAGGGAAUAUUGGGCAAUGGGCGAGAGCCUGACCCAGCCAUGCCGCGUGCAGGAUGAAGGCCUUCUGGGUUGUAAACUGCUUUUAUAAGGGAAGAAAACGUUCCUGCGGGAAUAACUGACGGUACCUUAUGAAUAAGCACCGGCUAACUCCGUGCCAGCAGCCGCGGUAAUACGGAGGGUGCAAGCGUUGUCCGGAUUUAUUGGGUUUAAAGGGUGCGUAGGCGGAUUGUUAAGUCAGUGGUGAAAGUCUGCGGCUCAACCGUAGAAGUGCCAUUGAUACUGGCAGUCUUGAGUACAGUAGAGGUAGGCGGAAUUUAUGGUGUAGCGGUGAAAUGCAUAGAUACCAUAAAGAACACCUAUAGCGAAGGCAGCUUACUAUGCUGUAACUGACGCUGAGGCACGAAAGCGUGGGGAGCGAACAGGAUUAGAUACCCCCGUAGUC